UACAGAGGGUGCGAGCGUUAAUCGGAAUUACUGGGCGUAAAGCGCACGUAGUCGGCUUUGCAAGUCGGGUGUGAAAUCCCCGGGCUCAACCUGGGAACUGCAUCCGAGACUGCAUUGCUAGAGUAUGGGAGAGGGAAGCGGAAUUCUUGGUGUAGCGGUGAAAUGCGUAGAUAUCAAGAGGAACACCUGAGGUGAAGACGGGUUGCUGGGCUGAUACUGACGCUGAGGCGCGAAAGCUAGGGUAGCAAACGGG
rnacentral:rRNA from 1 species